AUUCUGUGUUGCAGAUAUUUUCUCAACAUCUCCUAGUAUCUCUCCCAUGUAUCGUACAAGGAUUCAGUCUCUAAUUGGCAAAAAGAGGAGAUGUCGCUCCUAAGUUU